GAGAAAGGUCCAGCCAUCCCAGCAACCCAGCUCUUCCUACCAGGGUGAGAGACAUGGGAGCCAGCCAUCCUAGACAAUCUAGCUCCAGACAGCUUCUAACAGUGCCAUGUGAGAGACCUAAAGCAAGACUAGCAGAAUCAUCCCCUGAGCCAAGUCCCAGGUCUAAGCCAAGACUACAGGUCCCAGCAAUUCCAGGAGGCUGAGGCAAGAGGAUUGCAAGUUUGAGGCCAGUUCAUCAACUGUAGAGAGGCCCUAAGAAAGUUAGUGAGACCUGUCUCAAAAUAAAAAAUAAAAAGGACUGGGGAUAUAGCUCAGUUGUAAAGUACCUCUGGGUUCAAUCCCCAGUACAGAGAGAGAGAAAAGAACCAUUCAGCUAAGCCCUCAUGAGAAGUUAUAAAAUGGUUGUUGUCCGUUAGCCACUCAGUUUGGAAUAGUUUGUUAUGUAUCAAGAGCUCCCCAAACAGAAAUAUAAUAAUAAAAUCUGGGCUCAGAAUUAUAGAGAAAAGAGGAGAGGGCUUAAGUGACAACCAAGGAACUAUACCUAUAAGGAGCAGGCUGAGGCACACAUAUAACCCCAGCAACUUUGGUGGCUGAGACAGGAGGAUCAUAAGUUUGAGGUCAGCCUCAGCAACUUAGCCAAGACCCUUAUGAAAAGAAAGAAGGCCCAGAAGCUUGCUGUUCAGAAGGCUUUAUCAGAUGCAUUCCAGAAACUGUUCACUGUAGUUUUAGGUAAGACUUCUUUGUCUUUGAAGUACUUCAGUUUCAAUGAGCAAAUAAACUCAUUUUGAAAGUUAAUUGGAUGAAAAUGUGGAUAUCUAAAACCUUCCAUAUAAUGCUUUCAUUCACUAAAUUCUUUCAUAGCAAUGGUCUCAAAUUUGUCCUGUGAUAUUUGUGAGAAAAAUGACUGCAAAUAUUAUUGUCCCCAGUUUAUGAAUGUAGAACAACUUGCCUAAGCUCAUGCAGAAAGUAUUUGAUCCAAGUCUUCCUUCUCAAUUGCUUGCCUGUCAUACAGAAUAGUGAUUAUAAGUUUUGGACACCUGGGUUUGAGUCCUAACUUAGGUUUUUUUGUUUUGUUUUGUUUUAUUUGGUGGGGGGGUACCAGGGAUUGAACCCAAGGGCACUCGGCCACUGAGCCACAUCCCCAAUCCUUUUUGUAUUUUAUUUAGAGACAGGAUCUCACUGAGUUGCUUAGGGCCUUACAAAGUUGCUGAGGCUGGCUUUGGACUUGAGAUCCUCCUGCCUCAGCCUCCCUAGCUGCUGGGAUUACAGGUGUAUACCACCGUGCCUAGCUUGUAUCUUAGAUUUUUAAAGUAAUUUAGGUUUUAUAGUCAGACAGAUUUUAGGUAUUUAAUAUCUCUAAAUUGCAAUCUCAUUAUUGUAAAAUAGGGCUAGUAAUUCUGCCUACCUUAUAGGGGAUAUUGUAAGAAUAAAUGAGAUUAUAAAUGUAAAAAGUUCAGAACUAUGCUUACAUGAUAAGCAAACAUAAUAUGUUCACUAUCAUUGUUAUCAUUUUUUUCUGAGUAAACAGAUAAAUAAACUCUGCUGAAUUAAGAAUUCAGUUCAGUUUUUACUUAUGGCAUUGACAUAUUGGGUAAAUAUGACUCUUAUAUAAUAAUUAGCUGCUUUCAUGUGAGCCUUCAAAGAAGCAGGUUUUGAAUGACAUCACGCUCCCACUUGAGUUCUCCUGUGAUGUGAAUGUUACAGGCCACAUUCAAAAAAAAUGUGAUGACUAGCAGAAUUUCCAAACACAACUGCUCUCCUAGUUCAUGGGCUUACAAGCUUAGAAAUGGAGAAAUCCUAAUUAAGUUAUCAGAUACCCUUAUUUGCUUGUAAGAGGUAGCCCUGAUUGGUCUCAGCCUUCCAAUCUGGGCAGCCCUUCCGGGUUCAUGAGCUAGAAUUUCCAAUGGUCAACUCUUGAGUAACAAUCUUGAAGAACUAAGGAACUAAGCUUAUAUGAACUCAAAACUCUUUAGAUCAAAAGCUUUAUGCUUUGAAGGAAAACUGUAUUGUCUAUAAGGUAAGUAGACCAGUUUCUGCCAAUAAAAGGUGCUAGUACUUUCUCCAAAAAUUUGCUCAUUGUUUCUGGUGGAAUUUUGGUUCUCAGGGAGUAGGAAAUUGCUCCUUCUUCUAAUACGAAGUGUCUUCUAGGCCACGGAUCUACUGAACCAUUUGUACAUUUUUGUUUACGAAUAUUUCCUAUGUCAUUAUUUCUUAGUUCCUAUCUCUAAGAUCACAGCAUUCUUUUAACCAAACAUUGUUGAUACUUCAUUAUGUAUUUUUAAACAAAUAGUUAUGUUAAGACUGAUGCAUAGGUGAGGACAUUUCUAAGAAAUGCUCUUAUUUUCUUUCAGAAAUCAAAGGCAUGUCUCAUUAGGGUGCUACCAUGGUGUGCAAUAAGUUUUAGAAUAAGAAAAAUUCUGAAUUAAUUCUUGUUAACUUUAUUUCAGAGAGUGGUAAAAUAGCUGUGGUGUACAGACCCAGUGAAGAGAUCAGAGUUGCCAGAAGUGAAGAAGAACUACAUGAUAUAAUUCAAGUAUGUGAAGAUGAAAGCUCAGGGGUUCCAUAGUCAGUGUAGCCAUGAUUGAAAACAACCAGUGGGCUGGGUGCAGGGUUCAUGCCUGUAAUCCCAGCAGC
rnacentral:lncRNA from 1 species